UUCGAAUGUUUCCUGCUGGCUGCUGAGCUAAAAGUUCAAGUUCCUGACUGUGACAGUGAAGUCUUAGACAGCGUGGCUUUCUCUUAAAAAUUAAAAAGAUCCUCUAGACCUGAUGGGAUGCACCCUUGGAUAUUAACAGGAAGUUGCUACAGAGAUACUGGAUGCACUAGCAGCAAUCUUCCAGGAAUUCUUAGACUUUGGAAAAGUACAGAAGGAUUAGAAAACUGUCAACAUAACAUCUUUAUUCAGAAAGACAAAAAAAUGAUAGACUCAUUAUGGAAAGAGCAAUAACAACCUAAAGGCAAGCGUUUACAUUGGAAAGACAUGGGUUUUCAUUGGAUGAAGAGUGACAUGGAACCAAAGGCCACC